ensembl:lncRNA
CUGCAAAUAUACACUGGAGUUACUUACCAAGAGCACAUUGAAUGUUACUGAGUGGCCUAGUUACAGUUUUGACUUACUUAAAAAUCUAUGGCAAGACUUGAAAAUGGCAGUCUAGCAAUGAUUAACAACUAAAUUGACAACGCAUGAAGAAUUUUUGGAAGAAUAAUGGAAAAAUAUUGUACAAUCCAGACGUGCAAAGCUUUACCAAUUUACCCAGAAAGACUCACUGCUUUAAUUGCUGCCAAAGGUGAUUGUAACAUGUUGUUGAAUACUCAGGAUGUUGAAUACUUAUCUAGUCAAGAUACAUUAGUGUUUAAUUUUCCAUAAAUUUAUUUGAGUAUUUUGUAUAGAUUGUUUACAACAACAAAAAAGGCAAUUCAAUCCCACUUUGUAACACAACAAAAUGUGGUAAAAGUCAGGGGGGUGUGAAUACUUUCUGAAGGUACUGUACUGUAUAAUUAGAAGGUACUGUACUGUAUAAUUAGAAGGUACUGUACUGUAUAAUUAGAAGGUACUGUAGAUAGAAGGUACUGUAGAUAGAAGGUACUGUGGAUAGAAG